CUUUUUACAGUUAAUUAAAUUUCUUUACAUUAAAAAAUAACCUCCCUCGUAGACUGCCCUGAUGCAGUGAUACAAAACUGCAACCAUCGCUAAAAGUUAAAACCAUCGGUGAAGAAUUGCUCCAUUACACACUGAUAGUAUACUCCUCUGUUUACACCACACAUCCUUUAUGUCUAUAUUGCUGAAUUAAAGUCAGUCAUCAAAGAAAUUAGAAGUACAUCUAGUUUAGAACUCAGGCUUUCUCCUGACCAUUAUGCUGAUCCUAGCCACUGGUGCCUUCUUGGAUUACGUGAUACUUGGAUUCAACUCUUCUAUACUGCACUGUUUCAUCAAUGACUUAGCCUUCUGCUAAAGAGGUAGUGGUCUGGCUCGAGUUAUGGCAGGUGCAUUGGUUGAUGAUGCACAGUCCUUGUCCAGACAAUUUGCUGCAAUGAGUCUAAGGAAUGAAGAAAGACCAUGGCCUAGCAGUACUACUUGGGGCAGGAUGGGAUAAAAGAAGACAGCCAGCUCUACUUCGGCGAGCUCUUAUGAAGGAGGAGGAGACAUGGAAUUUAAGCAGAGCAGGUUCUUUCCGGCAGAAAGGAAAAUUGUCACUGCCAAUCCAGAUAUAAACAUUGUAUUGUUGCGGAAUACAAGUUCUUUUAAUCAUGUGGACUUUAUUCGCUCUGCUAAUAAUUGAUUUUUUGCGGAAUAACAGGCACAGGUUCAUCGGUUUCUCAAGAACAACUUGCUCAAGGAACAAGUUGCUCAUGUAGUAGUUUUGUGUUUUAUUAGAAAUUGUAGUUAUGUACAGUAGUUUCUUGAGAAAGAUUUAUAGAGGAUUUCAUAUUUUAUGUUCAAUAUAUAUUUAUUUGUAAUUAUUCAGUUGUACACAAAUAAUUUCAUUAUUAAUUAAAUAAUUUUUUGUUGGAAUAA